rnacentral:misc_RNA from 1 species
AUUAGCCGACGGCGCCGUCUUGUCUCUCUCACUUUCUCUCCCGCACUUGCUUGCACUGCAGUGACCGCUUAGCACGACAGAAAGGAACGCGCCGCCGCCAAACAACAACACGGAACUUUCUCUCACUCAAGCGACACACGCGUACCUCAGGGGAACUCCCCACCCCACAUCCCACUGCCUCCCGCCAACAAACAGCAGCAACACAUCACCAUCAUCCACAUACAGCCUUCGAAAAGCGAGCGAACAAGAGAGAAUACGUCAUACACACACACACACACACACACAUACAGCGCACUGCAUAGGGUAUCGCAACGGUAAGCGCACCCCUCCAACACGCAAACUCAUCUGGGCGCAUACAUACGUCUUCGCCACUGCACCAGUCUCUUCCCUCCACCCUCUCCUCCACCCUCUUCUCCAUAGAGCCGCACACUCGUACUCGUAGACGCAGAUCCCGUCAUGCUGCGCCGUAGCUUCACGCUUCGUCGGGCGAGCCCCUUCUCACUCUUCCAGAAGCACCUGGGCGAGACUGGCGUGCUUAAGGGCGUUAAGAACCCUACGAGGAAGUCGGCACAGAUGUACAGUAAGCUCUCUACGCCGGAGCGGAAGAUGUUCGAGGAGCGCGCGCGUCGUGUAACGUACCCUGCCCUCGACGCGUAUAACCGCUUCCAAAAGGAGUACGCGCCCCGCUUCCUGCACCUGCCCAUGAAGCAGCGCCAGCGCAAGGUGGCCCAGCUGUGGGCGGAGUUGAAGAAGAACGGGACGGUGAAGAUCCCCAAGAGCGCCAAGCGCAAGAUCAGGAAGGUGGCAAAGAAGACGAAGCCAAGGCGGUCGGUGACGAAGACGGCCAAGAAGAAGUCGGCCAAGUAGAUCACUACCUGAGGUGAUGCGUGCUUUCCGCGCUCGUUUUUCUUUCCCAUAGAACUGCAGCCGAGGACAGGCGGGCGAGUUUGGCGAGGAGGAGGGUGUGAGCUGACGUGAGGUGAGGCGUGCCCCAAGAUGCGCUGAGCCCUGCUUGCGCACGUGUGCAUUGGCUGCUUUCUGUUCGUGCUUCAAGCGAGACCACAUACGCAACCGAAGCUGUUGAACGGUUGCUGCACAUCGUCGCACUCGGCCAAUCGCCCGUGCCCUUCGCCCUUCCCUUCUCCCUAGAUCGCCGUUUGCUUGACUCACACACACCCUGCACACAUCCAUUUAAUAGACGAGCGAAGAGCGUACCGACAGGGCCGCCGCGGUAUCCGGUGUGUCUCCUGCACUCACUCCUCCCCGCUUUUCCCGUUUCUCUUUACCCAGCCCGCUCUGUUGUGAGGCUGACGCGUGCGUGUGGGCACGGGAGAGCGCGGGGAGAUGGUAUUUGGAGUAGACGGUCACCUGGAAGCUGCCCAGAGAAGUGAUGAGCGUUUUGCCCUGUUUCGCUGCGUUUUGAUGCCGUGCGCGUGCCUGUGCGGAGGCGGUGCUCUGCUCCGCUCGCCGCUGUUAUCCCUUCCUCCGUUCCCGCCUCAUUUGCCCAUCCCGCCCGCUCCCUCCCUCUCUUUGUACGUUUUCGGUGCUCGCGGGUGUGUGCCUGUCUGCGCCGGCGAUCUUCAGUGCGACUUUCCUUUUUUUUUUCCGGCUUUUUCCUCCCGAGCGACGCGCCGUGACCCACACACUGUGAGGCUCAGCAGCGAGGUGAAGACAACAAACGAGCACAGAAAAUGGCGCCGGUGGAGCGCGCAUUCUUGGCGAGCGCGCGCGUGUGGGCGGGCUGAUGCCAUGAUUUGAUGGGCGCCUCAUCUUGGGGUGGGGGCGGGGGUGGGCAAUGGACCACAUCUACACCGCACCUAAGCACACGGGGUGCUCUUCGCUGUCAAGUGCGCACAGAGAUCUCCCUUCCGGCUAUCUUUACGUCGGCAUCUGCGACUCGGUUCGCUGUGCAUUCUCUCGUCUUAUAGAAGUGUCCUUAGGUGGACCGAUGCCUCGCCUCACCGCGGCGACCGACUGUGGCACGCAAGCGUCGCAGACGCCCGAUUUGUUGAGGCUUUGUUGGCCAUGCUGCGUCUCCCUCGCCUUUCCGAAUGAGCCGCCGCACUUCUCUGCUUCUUUUUCGUCACGCCCCUCGCCUUUCUUGCCAACCAUAAACACAACGCUUGUGCACAAUGCGUUUGUGCCCAUCGCAUACUCACUCGUGCCCCCACCCCCGAUUUCCUUUUCGCCGUCUCUUGCACGUGUCGGCGCGUCGGAUCGUUCUGCUGCCGCCGCCGACCUCCUCCCGUCUCCCUCCUCGCCUCUGUCUCUCGCUUCUGCGAGGCCCUCGGCAG